CCAAGACCACACAAUCCUUCGUUACCCCAAAAGCUACACUUUCACUAUUUCCCUAAUCCAGUGACCGAAGAUAAAAAACAGAUGCAAAAACUCUAAUUUUUACCCAAACAACCACUCUCCUCUGACCCCAAAUUCUUCUAUUCCAUCGAAGAUUGAAGAAACGCCAUUUAUCUGCUUUAAUUUACUCCAUGUUUUUCAAACACAAAAUCAAAAAUCCUGAUGCUGUUUUCAAAAUCAUACAUCUUUUUUACUUCACUCCACAUUUUUGUGUGCGGCGGACGACGUUGACGAAGCCAUUGUUUGCAGGAGGCGGAGGUGGCGGCUCUGGUGGGUACUGUUACAACCGUGACCUCCGGGGACACAAAAUAUUAGCUGAACGAUGGAUGAUAACUGCAUCUGAGUUUACAUCGACAAUUGCGUAAACUAUUUUCGGCCUUUUAAGGUCGCCCCAGUCCCGAUCUAGCGUUGCAUGUGAUUACAUCGACCCGGUUGUGUCAGCUAGGGUUUCACGUGAUUAUGUUAGCAACGUUGAAGUCGGUUACAUUUGUUGUGGACUCCGAUGCCAUGCGGCGCGUGAAGAUGGUGGUUGUGUUGAACGGGAAAGUUGUCCAGCGAAACAGUGUCGUGCAGUGUGAAGACAAUGUUUGUGUGGAAGUGUACAAAAGAAAAAGCUGAAAUGAAGGGUAUUUGUGUAAUUUUUGACAAAGGGUAAAAUUGUAAUUUGUCGGUGGCACCGACCUUUAGUUUUAAGAUUAUAUAAAUAUACACAUUUUUAUCAGUAAAUAUUUUAGUAGUUAGAUUUUAACUUUUACACAACUCAUUUUUU